GCUGAAAGCGAGGGGGAUCUGUGUGGCGAAUGGCUGAUAGAUGAAGACGAAGGAUCAAUUAUUUCUAUGUUAAAAACCACAAACAAAUCUAUUGAGGAUGGAUUAAUGUAGGCCUACAUCGAAAAAAGCAAGUCCUACAACCAUUAAAAGGGCUGGCGGGAACAUUCACAAGGGCCCAUUGCUUUUAAUGCGAGCCAUCUGCCUCCUCUCCAAAAAACGACUAGCUGAAAGAACGCUCCUCCAGGUCCCUCUAGGGCACGUCGACAGUUUGCACUGGCCUACCUUCCACUGUGCGCGCGACGAACCUUCUCGAAGCCUACCUUCAACGGGCACGCAACGCUGACCUUCGACAGUUCUACCUGCUACAGGCACGCGACGCUGACCUUAACCAGUCCUACCUUCUACUGGCACGCACGGUCAACGGGCGCGCACGCCCACCUUCAGCAUUCCGGCCACGCCAGGCCAGGGCAGAGGUGGCCCGUGGGCCCCGCAGGAACGGCAAGAGGAAAAAAGCAAGCCGGCUGGCUGAUAGUGCGCCAAAACCAACCCCAG
ensembl:lncRNA